GGCACUCGGUUACUUUAGGAAUCAUCCUUCCACUCCCAAGGGCACAGUUGGCACCAGGGAAGGUAACUUUUCUUCCCUAUUUUCUCUCAGCACAUUAACCAAUUUCCUAAAACAUCAACCAGUGCCUUCGCGGCACCCCGCACGGAUAGGUAACCGUGGCCUCUAAAGAGGUUCAGGGAUUCUCCACUGAGACAGCCACUCCAACCUCAGCCAACCCCUGGCUUUUACAAAGACAGAGCCUCACUAAGAAAGCGGGCGAUCUCCUCGCCGUAGCCUUCUGGAAGGAGAGAGAAGGUCAGGAACGGCCGGAAGCUCGGGAGCCGGGCAGAGGGGAGAAGAGGAGGGGGCCUGUGGCUUCUGAAGAACCUGGGAGCUUCCCACCAGCUGAAAUGCAAACUCCCUUCUGCAGCGGCCCCUCCGAGCCUCCGCCCCCCUGACCCCUGUCCUGGCGUGGCCUUUCCCUCCCUGGUCUCGGUCCCCUGUCACUGUUAGGGUUUGCCUCGCUGCCCCUCCCCCACAAUUCUUCUCUGAUGACCUCACAGAAGUGGACUUCCUUUACCCGACUGACGUGCUUCGCAGAACUCUUUAAAGAACCCAUUUAUUCAUCUAUCCAUUCAUUCGUUUUUAUUGUGUGCAAGGCAAUCACCAGGUGCUAAAAUGUGAACAGGC